rnacentral:rRNA from 1 species
AGUGAACGCUGGCGGUAGGCCUAACACAUGCAAGUCGAACGGCAGCACAGUAAGAGCUUGCUCUUACGGGUGGCGAGUGGCGGACGGGUGAGGAAUACAUCGGAAUCUACUUUUUCGUGGGGGAUAACGUAGGGAAACUUACGCUAAUACCGCAUACGACCUACGGGUGAAAGCAGGGGAUCUUCGGACCUUGCGCGAUUGAAUGAGCCGAUGUCGGAUUAGCUAGUUGGCGGGGUAAAGGCCCACCAAGGCGACGAUCCGUAGCUGGUCUGAGAGGAUGAUCCGCCACACUGGAACUGAGACACGGUCCAGACGCCUACGGGAGGCAGCAGUGGGGAAUAUUGGACAAUGGGGGCAAGCCUGAUACAGCCAUACCGCGUGGGUGAAGAAGGCCUUCGGGUUGUAGAGCCCUUUUGUUGGGAAAGAAAAGCAGCAGGUUAAUACGCCGCUGUUCUGACGGUACCCAAAGAAUAAGCACCGGCUAACUUCGUG